rnacentral:rRNA from 1 species
UGGGGAAUAUUGGACAAUGGGCGCAAGCCUGAUCCAGCCAUGCCGCGUGAGUGAUGAAGGCCCUAGGGUUGUAAAGCUCUUUCACCGGUGAUGAUAAUGACGGUAACCGGAGAAGAAGCCCCGGCUAACUUCGUGCCAGCAGCCGCGGUAAUACGAAGGGGGCUAGCGUUGUUCGGAUUUACUGGGCGUAAAGCGCACGUAGGCGGACUUUUAAGUCAGGGGUGAAAUCCCGGGGCUCAACCCCGGAACUGCCUUUGAUACUGGAAGUCUUGAGUAUGGUAGAGGUGAGUGGAAUUCCGAGUGUAGAGGUGAAAUUCGUAGAUAUUCGGAGGAACACCAGUGGCGAAGGCGGCUCACUGGACCAUUACUGACGCUGAGGUGCGAAAGCGUGGGGAGCAAACAGG